rnacentral:rRNA from 1 species
UAUACCGUGAAACUGCGAAUGGCUCAUUAAAUCAGUUAUCGUUUAUUUGAUAGUACCUUACUACAUGGAUAACCGUGGUAAUUCUAGAGCUAAUACAUGCUGAAAACCCCAACUUCGGGAGGGGUGUAUUUAUUAGAUAAAAAACCAACGCCCUUCGGGGCUUCUUGGUGAUUCAUGAUAACUUUACGGAUCGCAUGGCCUUGCGCCGGCGACGGUUCAUUCAAAUUUCUGCCCUAUCAACUUUCGAUGGUAAGGUAUUGGCUUACCAUGGUUUCAACGGGUAACGGGGAAUUAGGGUUCGAUUCCGGAGAGGGAGCCUGAGAAACGGCUACCACAUCCAAGGAAGGCAGCAGGCGCGCAAAUUACCCAAUCCCGACACGGGGAGGUAGUGACAAUAAAUACUGAUACAGGGCUCUUUUGGGUCUUGUAAUUGGAAUGAGUACAAUUUAAACCUCUUAACGAGGAACAAUUGGAGGGCAAGUCUGGUGCCAGCAGCCGCGGUAAUUCCAGCUCCAAUAGCGUAUAUUAAAGUUGUUGCAGUUAAAAAGCUCGUAGUUGAAACUUGGGUCUGGCUGGCAGGUCCGCCUCACCGCGUGUACUUGUCCGGCCGGGCCUUCCUUCUGGAGAACCUCAUGCCCUUCACUGGGCGUGUUGGGGACCAGGACUUUUACUUUGAAAAAAUUAGAGUGUUCAAAGCAGGCCUUUGCUCGAAUACGUUAGCAUGGAAUAAUAGAAUAGGACGUGCGGUUCUAUUUUGUUGGUUUCUAGGACCGCCGUAAUGAUUAAUAGGGACAGUCGGGGGCAUCAGUAUUCAAUUGUCAGAGGUGAAAUUCUUGGAUUUAUUGAAGACUAACUACUGCGAAAGCAUUUGCCAAGGAUGUUUUCAUUAAUCAGUGAACGAAAGUUAGGGGAUCGAAGACGAUCAGAUACCGUCGUAGUCUUAACCGUAAACUAUGCCGACUAGGGAUCGGGCGAUGUUCUUUUUUUUGACUCGCUCGGCACCUUACGAGAAAUCAAAGUU